AUGAAUGGUUAGACGGUAGAGUUGACUGUCUCUUCAAAAUUUUAAGAAUUUAAAUUCUAGGUUAAAAUGCCUAGAUAUUAUUGAAAGACGAGAAGACCCUAGCGAGCUUUAUUUUUAACGCUAGAAAUAAGUAGAUGUUUAAACUUUUGUUGGGGCGACUGAGGAGAUGGAGCUUCCUUUAUAAAAUGAAAAAUAAUGGUUAAGGAUCCAGUGUAAUUACUGAAAAACAGGGGAGCUACCGUAGGGAUAACAGCGUAAUCCUUUUAGAGAGUUCUUAUCGAAAAAAGUGUUUGCGACCUCGAUGUUGGACUAGGAUAUCCUAAAGGUGUAGAGGCUUUUAAGGGUUGGUCUGUUCGACCAAUAAAAUCCUACAUGAUCUGAGUUCAAACCGGA
rnacentral:rRNA from 1 species